CUUGCCCUUAUCAGGAGGAUAGCCCGGGGAAACUCGGAUUAAUACUCCAUAAGAUUUUGAUUGGCAUCGAUUAAAAUUGAAAGAUUUAUUGGAUAAGGAUAGGCAUGCGUCAGAUUAGUUAGUUGGUAGUGUAACGGACUACCAAGGCGAUGAUCUGUAGGGGGCCUGAGAGGGUGAACCCCCACACUGGUACUGAGACACGGACCAGACUCCUACGGGAGGCAGCAGUGAGGAAUAUUGGACAAUGGAGGGAACUCUGAUCCAGCCAUCCCGCGUGCAGGAAGACGGCCCUAUGGGUUGUAAACUGCUUUUGUAUGGGGAUAAAUCUACCUACGUGUAGGUAGUUGAAGGUACCAUACGAAUAAGCAUCGGCUAACUCCGUGCCAGCAGCCGCGGUAAUACGGAGGAUGCAAGCGUUAUCCGGAUUCAUUGGGUUUAAAGGGUCCGUAGGCGGGCUGAUAAGUCAGUGGUGAAAUUUUGUCGCUCAACGAUAAAACUGCCAUUGAUACUGUUAGUCUUGAGUGAUAUUGAAGUAGCUGGAAUGUGUAGUGUAGCGGUGAAAUGCAUAGAUAUUACACAGAACACCGAUUGCGAAGGCAGGUUACUAAGUAUUAACUGACGCUGAAGGACGAAAGCGUGGGGAGCGAACAGGAUUAGAUACCCUGGUAGUCCACGCAGUAAACGAUGCUAACUCGUUUUCGGGGAGUGAUCUUCGGAG
rnacentral:rRNA from 1 species